rnacentral:rRNA from 1 species
GUGGGGAAUAUUGGACAAUGGGGGGAACCCUGAUCCAGCCAUGCCGCGUGUGUGAAGAAGGCCUUUUGGUUGUAAAGCACUUUAAGCGAGGAGGAGGCUACCGAGAUUAAUACUCUUGGAUAGUGGACGUUACUCGCAGAAUAAGCACCGGCUAACUCUGUGCCAGCAGCCGCGGUAAUACAGAGGGUGCAAGCGUUAAUCGGAUUUACUGGGCGUAAAGCGCGCGUAGGUGGCCAAUUAAGUCAAAUGUGAAAUCCCCGGGCUUAACUUGGGAAUUGCAUUCGAUACUGGUUGGCUAGAGUAUGGGAGAGGAUGGUAGAAUUCCAGGUGUAGCGGUGAAAUGCGUAGAGAUCUGGAGGAAUACCGAUGGCGAAGGCAGCCAUCUGGCCUAAUACUGACACUGAGGUGCGAAAGCAUGGGGAGCAAACAGGAUUAGAUACCCUUGUAGUCC